rnacentral:rRNA from 1 species
AUGCCUUACAAUGAGCGGUACACACCGUACAUCAAGCAGGCAGGACUACUCACGUGGAUUCAGUUGGUCAGCCGGUCCACACCGAAUCUGAACGCUCCACUGGUGUCCGCUCUUGCUGAUCGGUGGAGGCCGGAGACGCGCAGUUUCCAUCUUCGGACUGGGGAGAUGACCGUGACGCUCGAGGAUGUCUCGUUGAUCACCGGAAGAAGAGAAGAAGAAGAGGGAAAGGAAAGCAGCCGGAGCUGCUUUCACGUGGAUUCAAAAUAA